rnacentral:rRNA from 1 species
AUUGAACGCUGGCGGCAUGCUUUACACAUGCAAGUCGAACAGUAACAGGGUGCUUGCACCGCUGACGAGUGGCGAACGGGUGAGUAAUGCGUCGGAACGUGCCGAGUAGUGGGGGAUAACGCAGCGAAAGUUGUGCUAAUACCGCAUACGUACUGAGGUAGAAAGUGGGGGACCUUCUGGCCUCACGCUAUUCGAGCGGCCGACGUCUGAUUAGCUAGUAGGUGAGGUAAAGGCUCACCUAGGCGACGAUCAGUAGCGGGUCUGAGAGGAUGACCAGCCACACUGGAACUGAGACACGGUCCAGACUCCUACGGGAGGCAGCAGUGGGGAAUUUUGGACAAUGGGCGAAAGCCUGAUCCAGCCAUUCCGCGUGAGUGAAGAAGGCCUUCGGGUUGUAAAGCUCUUUCGCAAGGGAAGAAAACUUACAUUCUAAUAAAGUGUGAGGUUGACGGUACCUUGAUAAGAAGCACCGGCUAACUACGUGCCAGCCGCCGCGGUAAAAC